CCUUCCGGUAGGUGAACCUGCGGAAGGAUCAUUACCGAGUGAGGGCCCUCUGGGUCCAACCUCCCACCCGUGUUUAUUUUACCUUGUUGCUUCGGCGGGCCCGCCUUAACUGGCCGCCGGGGGGCUUACGCCCCCGGGCCCGCGCCCGCCGAAGACACCCUCGAACUCUGUCUGAAGAUUGUAGUCUGAGUGAAAAUAUAAAUUAUUUAAAACUUUCAACAACGGAUCUCUUGGUUCCGGCAUCGAUGAAGAACGCAGCGAAAUGCGAUACGUAAUGUGAAUUGCAAAUUCAGUGAAUCAUCGAGUCUUUGAACGCACAUUGCGCCCCCUGGUAUUCCGGGGGGCAUGCCUGUCCGAGCGUCAUUGCUGCCCUCAAGCACGGCUUGUGUGUUGGGCCCCGUCCUCCGAUCCCGGGGGACGGGCCCGAAAGGCAGCGGCGGCACCGCGUCCGGUCCUCGAGCGUAUGGGGCUUUGUCACCCGCUCUGUAGGCCCGGCCGGCGCUUGCCGAUCAACCCGAAUUUUUAUCCAGGUUGACCUCGGAUCAGGUAGGGAUACCCGAUGAACUUAAGCAUAUCAUUAC
rnacentral:sRNA from 1 species